rnacentral:rRNA from 1 species
UACGUAGGGUGCGAGCGUUAAUCGGAAUUACUGGGCGUAAAGCGUGCGCAGGCGGUUGGCAAUGUCAGCUGUGAAAGCCCCGGGCUUAACCUGGGAAUGGCGGUUGAAACUAGUCGACUCGAAUCUGGCAGAGGGGGGUGGAAUUCCACGUGUAGCAGUGAAAUGCGUAAAGAUGUGGAGGAACACCGAUGGCGAAGGCAGCCCCCUGGGCUGAGAUUGACGCUCAGGCACGAAAGCGUGGGGAGCAAACAGG